rnacentral:tRNA from 1 species
GAGGGGGUGGCAGAGCCUGGUCAAAUGCGCUAGCUUGAGGUGCUAGUCCCUUAGUGGGUGCGAGGGUUCAAAUCCCUUCCCCCUCA